GACGAACGCUGGCGGCGUGCUUAACACAUGCAAGUCGAACGGAAAGGCCCUGCUUUUGUGGGGUGCUCGAGUGGCGAACGGGUGAGUAACACGUGAGUAACCUGCCCUUGACUUUGGGAUAACUUCAGGAAACUGGGGCUAAUACCGGAUAGGAGCUCCUGCUGCAUGGUGGGGGUUGGAAAGUUUCGGCGGUUGGGGAUGGACUCGCGGCUUAUCAGCUUGUUGGUGGGGUAGUGGCUUACCAAGGCUUUGACGGGUAGCCGGCCUGAGAGGGUGACCGGCCACAUUGGGACUGAGAUACGGCCCAGACUCCUACGGGAGGCAGCAGUGGGGAAUAUUGCACAAUGGGCGGAAGCCUGAUGCAGCAACGCCGCGUGCGGGAUGACGGCCUUCGGGUUGUAAACCGCUUUCGCCUGUGACGAAGCGUGAGUGACGGUAAUGGGGAAAGAAGCACCGGCUAACUACGUGC
rnacentral:rRNA from 1 species